CAGCAGCCGCGGGAAUACGUAGGGUGCGAGCGUUAAUCGGAAUUACUGGGCGUAAAGCGUGCGCAGGCGGUUGUGUAAGACAGGUGUGAAAUCCCCGGGCUUAACCUGGGAACUGCGCUUGUGACUGCACAGCUAGAGUAUGGCAGAGGGGGGUGGAAUUCCACGUGUAGCAGUGAAAUGCGUAGAGAUGUGGAGGAACACCGAUGGCGAAGGCAGCCCCCUGGGCCAAUACUGACGCUCAUGCGCGAAAGCGUGGGGAGCAAACAGGAUUAGAUACCCCCGUAGUCCCUGUCCUUAUACA
rnacentral:rRNA from 1 species